UACGUAGGGGGCAAGCGUUGUCCGGAUUUAUUGGGCGUAAAGAGCGUGUAGGCGGCUUUGCAAGUCCGUUGUGAAAACUCGAGGCUCAACCUCGAGACGCCGGUGGAAACUGCAAAGCUAGAGUCCGGAAGAGGAGAGUGGAAUUCCUGGUGUAGCGGUGAAAUGCGCAGAUAUCAGGAGGAACACCAAUUGCGAAGGCAGCUCGCUGGGACGUAACUGACGCUGAGACGCGAAAGCGUGGGGAGCAAACAGG
rnacentral:rRNA from 1 species